GAUGCCGCGGCGGUUUAGGUAGAGCACCAUGAGGAAGAUGAGGCCGAUGAGAGCCAGCACCAGCCCGAAGAAGACGUAAGAGGCUUCCAACUCCGGGCCGGCGACGUCUACCUCUUCGCCGCGCUCGUGUGCAUUGCCGUCGGAGCAGCCUAGUCGCGCCUCGUCCAGGUCCAUCAGCGGUCGGUCCAGCAGUACGCGCGGGGAAGCGCAGCGCAGGCGGCGCGCGUCGGGUACGCGCUCGGUGGCAUUGUGCAGCCAGGCCAGCAGGGGGCGCGAGGUGCACCCGCAGCUCAGUGGGUUGUCCGCCAGCAGCAGGCGCGGCUGGGGCAAGUCGCCAUCACGCUCGAGAGCGCGCAGCUCGUCGGGGCCCAGGCUGGCCAGCGCGUUGACACGCGCAUCCAGCUGCUCCAGGCGCGGCAGGCGCAGCGCGGCGGGUGGCAGGCGGCUCAGCGCGUUGCCUGCCAAGCCCAGCAGGCGCAGCUCGGUCAGCGGGGCCAGAGCGGCGUCCAGUGCAUCCAGCAUCCCCGGGCUGCCCCGAGCCAGCGCGUGAUUGAGCAGUAGUGAGCGCAGAGCAGGCAGUCCGCGAAAGGCGCGGGAGCCCAGGGCGCGCAGCGGGUUGUGGCUUAGGUCGAGUGCCGCCAGGCUGGGCAGCCCGUCGAAGGCACCGUCCUCUACCACCUCGAUGUUGUUGUGAGUGAGGCGCAGCGCGGUGAGGAGUGGUAGGCGUACGCUGUCCGUCGCCUCCUCGUCCCCUCCCGCGAAGGCGGCCGCGCGC
rnacentral:lncRNA from 1 species